UCCAGACUCCUACGGGAGGCAGCAGUGAGGAAUAUUGGUCAAUGGGCGGAAGCCUGAACCAGCCAAGUCGCGUGAGGGAAGAAGGCCCUGCGGGUCGCAGACCUCUUUGGACGGGGAGCAAGGCCGCCGACGUGUCGGCGGAAGGAGAGUACCCGUAGAACAAGCAUCGGCUAACUCCGUGCCAGCAGCCGCGGUAAUACGUAGGUGGCAAGCGUUGUCCGGAUUUACUGGGUGUAAAGGGCGUGCAGCCGGGAGUGCAAGUCAGAUGUGAAAUCCCGCGGCUCAACCGCGGAACUGCAUUUGAAACUGUGCUUCUUGAGUGCUGGAGAGGCAGACGGAAUUCCUAGUGUAGCGGUGAAAUGCGUAGAUAUUAGGAGGAACACCAGUGGCGAAGGCGGUCUGCUGGACAGCAACUGACGCUGAGGCGCGAAAGCGUGGGGAGCAAACAGGAUUAGAUACCCGAGUA
rnacentral:rRNA from 1 species